rnacentral:rRNA from 1 species
GAGUGAGUGGCGGACGGGUGAGUAACGCGUGGGUAACCUGCCCUGUACAGGGGGACAACAGUUGGAAACGACUGCUAAUACCGCAUAAGCUUACGGUACCGCAUGGUACAGUAAGAAAAACUCCGGUGGUACAGGAUGGGCCCGCGUCUGAUUAGCUAGUUGGCGGUGUAACGGACCACCAAGGCAACGAUCAGUAGCCGGCUUGAGAGAGUGAACGGCCACAUUGGGACUGAGACACGGCCCAAACUCC